ACCGGCAGCUCAAGUGGUGGCCAUUUUUAUUGGGCCUAAAGCGUUCGUAGCCGGUUUGAUAAGUCUCUGGUGAAAUCCCGCAGCUUAACUGUGGGACUUGCUGGAGAUACUAUUAGACUUGAGGUCGGGAGAGGUUAGGGGUACUCCCAGGGUGGGGGUGAAAUGCUACAAUCGUGGGGGGACGACAUGUGGGCAAGGCGCGUAACUGGAAUGAACCUUCCGGUGAGGCACGAAACUCAGGGGCGUGAGCCG
rnacentral:rRNA from 1 species